rnacentral:tRNA from 1 species
GCGAGUAUAUAUUAAAGGUAAAUUCGUAGCCUUCCAAGCUAUUUAUAUGGGUUCAAUUCCCAUUACUCGCUA